GACGAACGCUGGCGGCGUGCUUAACACGUGCAAGUCGUACGGUAAGGCCCUUUCGGGGGUACACGAGUGGCGAACGGGUGAGUAACACGUGAGUAACCUGCCCACAACUUUGGGAUAACGCUAGGAAACUGGUGCUAAUACUGUAUAUGUGCUCCUGCUGCAUGGUUGGGGUUGGAAAGCUCCGGCGGUUGUGGAUGGACUCGCGGCCUAUCAGCUUGUUUGUGGGGUAGUGGCCUACCAAGGCGGCGACGGGUAGCCGGCCUGAGAGGGUGACCGGCCACAUUGGGACUGAGAUACGGCCCAGACUCCUACGGGAGGCAGCAGUGGGGAAUAUUGCACAAUGGGCGCAAGCCUGAUGCAGCAACGCCGCGUGCGGGAUGACGGCCUUCGGGUUGUAAACCGCUUUCAGCAGGGACGAAGCUUUUUGUGACGGUACCUGCAGAAGAAGCACCGGCUAACUACGUG
rnacentral:rRNA from 1 species